CACAGCCGCACCGCACGGCGCACACGGGCACGCACCCCGAUGUGCCCGCAGGCACACGAGGAAGGCGCGCCCUCCUCGCCGCUCGCAGCGGGGCUUGCACUCAUUCCCCACGGGGCUCUUUGGGCCAGGGCACCCGGGCAGCGCUGCACUCACCGUCUGACGGCUUUUUGGCACGGUCCGCGCCCCCGCCGCCUGGGACAUCAACACUUCAGAUCGAAAGGAAACAUCGGAUUUGUGAUCGUCUUUGGGUUGCUGGAGAACAUUCUGUGUUCUUCUGCUUUUAAAAUAAAUCGUAAAUCAUCCC